UACGAAGGGUGCAAGCGUUAAUCGGAAUUACUGGGCGUAAAGGGUGCGUAGGUGGUUUGUUAAGUCUGAUGUGAAAGCCCUGGGCUCAACCUGGGAAUUGCAUUGGAUACUGGCAGGCUAGAGUGCGGUAGAGGAUGGCGGAAUUCCCGGUGUAGCAGUGAAAUGCGUAGAGAUCGGGAGGAACAUCUGUGGCGAAGGCGGCCAUCUGGACCAGCACUGACACUGAGGCACGAAAGCGUGGGGAGCAAACAGG
rnacentral:rRNA from 1 species